CACACUCCACCUCACACACUCCACCUUCACUCAACACAGUUUACAGUCCAGGCGAGGUGUCCGGGCCACAAGUGUCGCUUGACAAAAAAUGACGUAAAAGCGAUAAUAUUUGUGUCUGCUAGGGUGUUCCAGACCACGUCACGAACAUGCACAAUUUUGAAAGGACUCAGACGUUGAAAGAAGUUUUUGUCGCUAACUUUGAUUGGAUAAGAAGAGAUUGGACGUUUUGUUUUGUUGCCAAGGAUAUGUCCAUCUGGCUGUAGCAUCCUAGGUAGCUAGCAGUGUCAGCUGUAAAGUUAUCAUUUGAUGAAGCAUUGACUUAAUCAACAGUCGAGGAGAUAUCAUUUCUACGUUAAUGAUGGGAUCACAAAGGAAGAUGUGCGUUCAGGAUGAAUCGGUCCCUCUUCCAUGGCCGAUACCACUUGAAGUAGUUGACUAAUGUUAGCUAGGUAGAUUAGCCAUAGAGAUGACACGUUCAGAUCUAAUCCAUCUUGUCAUCAGUGACGGAUAUCACAGGUUGUCACGGUGAUUUAAAGCCAUCUUGUCAUCAGUGACGGAUAUCACAGGUUGUCACGGCGAUUAAAGCCAUCUUGUCAUCAGUGACGGAUAUCACAGGUUGUCACGACGAUUAAAGCCAUCUUGUCACCAGUGACGGAUAUCACAGGUUGUCACGGUGAUUAAAGCCAUCUUGUCAUCAGUGACGGAUAUCACAGGUUGUCACGGUGAUUUAAAGCCCUUGCCAGAGCCUCUUAAUGGUUAUCGAGCGAUUGGCCUUUCCACUCACACGUUCAACAUUACUCAAGCAUUACAUUCACAAUCACAGGACAGUGUUCUGUUUGGUGUGUGUGAGAGAACAGUGUUAUAUUCCACACUGUUGAAACCCUACAUACAGUACCAGUCAAAAGUUUGGACACACCUUUAAUUUUUGUGUUAAGUGUUUUCUUUACUUUUAUUAUUUUCUACAUGGUAGAUUAAUACUGAAGACAUUUAAACUACGAAAGAACACAUAUGGAAUGAUGUACUAAACAAAAAAAAGUGUUAUCUACCAUGUAGAAAAUAAUAAAAGUAUAGAAAAAGCUUCUCAAAAAAUGAGAAGGUGUGUCCAAACUUUUGACUGGUACUGUAUAUGCCCAACAGAAGGUCCUCAACACCCCCAGACUGGCCCAAAAGCAGAAGUGUUCUUUGAAUAUUCUCUCGAUAUAUACCUGAAUAAUAAGCAUAUCUUGAACUAGGUCCAACUCUUUGGCAUGCGUCAUGCAGUUUGUCGCAGUACAGUGCGCAUUGUAUGCGAUACGGCAGUGGGUGGACUGACAGCAGAAUGGUGGGGAUAACUACCAUUAUCACGAUCAUCCCUCU
ensembl:lncRNA